AUGAAAAAUCUACUUUGUAAAAGUCCUUGAAGGAACGGCUUAUCAGCUUCAGUAUCCUUCCGUGAAUAUCUAUUCAAACUGCCAACCUGGUGUUUGAUUAAUUGCUUCCCAUUUUAUAUGUGUUAUUUCAUAUAUUGUGUUUUGAAGUUGAAAUUGAUUUUGUGUUUAUUUCAAAUUCAGGGUCUCUUAAACGGGUCAAAAUUGUCUAAGAAAGUGGCUACCUAUAGGUGUUGUGUUUGAUCAAUUUCAUUGUGUUUUUUUAAUAGUAUUUCAUUGUGUUUUUUCAAUAGCAUUUCAUUGUGUUUUCUAAUACCAUUUUGAGAAUUGUUGGAUCCUAUAUUAUAACCAUCAACUUCAAUAUCUUGGUACUACAUGAACUAAUAUUGUGUUUUUAUUAUUCAUCUCAUGUGUGUAGCAUGAAGCAACAAGGGUGGAUACUGAUCUUGCUGGCUAACGGUUCUGGGAGCGAAAAGGAGAUCAAAAGGCCAUCGUAUGGCUUCAUUAUCGUACAUGGGAAAUUUGAGAUGAAUCUGAUUGAUGAACAAAAUCUCAGCUUACAGCAAUUUGUAGAAUCCUUAACCCUCUUUUUUCUUGAUGUGGACUGUCAAAAAUCCGGAUUGAGAAUAAAGUUCACGAUUACAUGAACUCACAAGCCAAAUUCGAAGACAAGAUGUGGGCGAUUCUGAAUGUCUGGUUGAUUGAAGAUCAACUAUGGAUAAUCUUUCUAGAGUCACUCACAAGAUGAAAGAUAUUGACAUCGACAUCCAGAUGGAUAGUCAAUUCUAAUGACACGUUGAAUUAUCGACCAGUAAGGUCAAAGAAAGAAGUGCAUCGUCUGGUCAGUUGAGCAAUGGGAAAAAGCCGAAUCGUCAAGAGAAUAAAAACCCAGAUGUCAAAGUUCAAAAGCCGAAAGAUGAAGCAUCAGAAACACUUCAAAAUGGUGAUUACACGGCGGAGCCACCGGUUCAGAACAUAGUGGCUAAGGAUGUUCACGGGAAGUUGUGGAGUUCCAGCAUAUUUACCGGGGUACGCCUCGCCGGCAUCUCUUGACAACUGGUUGGAGUAAUUUUGUCAACCAGAAGAAGUUGGUGGCGGGUGAUUCGAUCGUGUUUUUGAGGGCGGAUAACGGCGAUUUUUGUGUGAGGGCGAAGAGGGGUUUGUCGAGUCGAAUUGUUCCUGGUGGAAUGCUGCGGUUAGCGGGUUUGGGAAUUUCGGGAAGGUGAGUGAUACGGGUAAAUGAUCAGUGGUUUAGAUGGUAGUGGAUGGAGAUGUUGUUAGGAAUCAGUGGAUGAACAACAGAGGUUGUUAAUAACAUUGGAUUAGCAGCAGAGGUGGUUAGCUGACAGUGGAUCAGCAACAGAGGUUGUUAGUUAACAGGGGUUAGCAACAGAUGUUGUUAGUUAGUUGGGCGGUUACAAGAGAAUGGUCUUGCGGAUGUUGACUUGCACGAGGGUGCAGCAGGUGGUUCAAGUAGCAAGUCCAGCAGUUCCUUUAUAUUGGAAUAAAAUAAAAUGGCAGGUGGCAUCAUGGAAGCCCUCAAAUUGGAAGAAACAAUAAAGAAUUAUGAACAAUGCAAUGAGAAUGGUGGUGUAUUUAUUUAUAAGCUUUUGUAGUCAGACCGUCGUCUUCUGAUUGGAUAAUCGCUAUGGUCGACUGAAAGAGAUCUUGAGAUGAAGCGAUGAUUGGCAACCAUUCCAUUCCACUCUCAAUUUCAAAGGAACAUCAAGAUAUGUGGGCAGGAUGGAAACAGCAUAGUUGUUUAUUGCGACCAUAGCGGUCGCUAUAGCGAUUUUAGCGAUUUUUUUUUUUUUAAGUUUCUCACCUCUCGUCUGGGCUGGGUUGGGGUAAAACUGAGGUUGAAUGGGGGAUCAAUGUGUGUUGUUGGUUGAUUGUUUGGACACUGAAUCAUCACAUUGAGAGUAUAAGUAUAUCGGGUUCUGCAGAAGAAAUGGUUACUGGUGUUUGUGCUGAUAGGAUGGAUGUUAGUUUCGAGUCGUUACCAAAGAAAUUUGCAGAAUGCAGGACCUGCCAUGUGGAAUAUGAAGACUUGAACAUGGAGACACCGUGUGCCUGUUGUGGCAGUUUGAAGGUUUUUGUUCUUGAUCUUACUUCAUUAAAUUAGUUUCAGAAUUGAUAUAUCCCUUGAAAUAGUAGAGGUUUCAUCCUUUGGAACACAAGGCCACAUGUUUGAAUUUUUAAUAGUUUUUCUUUAAAUGACGAAAAGCAGAAGCUUGAGAAUAGUAAAGGGGAAACUUUUUAAGGCAAAUUUAAAAAAAAAAAAAAAAAAAAAGGGUAAUUGCACGGUACCUCUGACCGCGGGAGGGAUCCCCCUCCCCAAGCUAGCGACCCGGCAACGCUGCUUGGCGGUGACUACCCAGCCGUUUCGAGGGGAGCGAAGAGCCUGCAAGCAGGAUUCGAACCCGAGCACUUUAGGCCUCGAACCGGUUUAACUUGGGUGCCGGUGGCCAUUGGGCUGACACCCAAUGAAUAAAAUCGCCCUUUAUAAGAAAAUUCCAAUUUUCGAACCUGGCUUUAAUUUGGCAAGGUCUUAGUUCCAUGUAUGUAUGUCUCUGCUCAAGGAUUUAUCAUCUGGCAAUUAACCGAAGCUAGAGGUCUGAGUCAGCUAUGAGAUUCUACAAAUUUUAUUGCUCGGUUAUUUCCUGUGAUUUUGUGUUGAAUUUACAUUUUUGGAAUGAGUUUAAUUAGUUUGGUUGAUUGUUUCCUUUUAAUAUAUGUUGAGUUGACGUAUAUGCAGUCCAUCCAUCUGGUUGGUUUUGGUUCAAGUCGAUGUGUUUUCUAAUGUGUGAACAGGCAGCCAAUUGAAACAUCACUGAUCCCUUUUUGAAGGUUAAACAUCACAAAAUGAAGGUAACUUUCACUUUCGACUGGGAUCCUUAACAAAGCCAUUGAGAACAUUGCUGGUGUGAAGUUUGUCAUCAUGUUCGCCAACAAAAAGAUGCUUACGAAGAACUUAAAAAGCUAGCAGCCAAGUCAAUGAGCGAGUCGGUCAAGGAAAUGGUUAAAGCAGUUUAACAGGCCGAACCAGCCACCAGACCCAUAUCUCGCGUUGAUGAUGCAGUCACACCAUGGCUUACGAGCAUGAGGGCGUGGCGUACAGCCAGGGAUCCGGCUGUUCUCAUCCAUGAUUAAAAUGAAGUUAUACUAAAGGCUAAACCCAACCUGCUUUUGAAAACUCAAUCCGCACUAAGCAUGGAUUGUGGUACACCCUUUUGUGACCAGUUAUAAAAACGGUUUUACUUCAGGUGUUUGUAUUACUGGAGAACUCCGGUUGUCCUCUUGGCAACAAAAUUCCUGAAUUCAACGAGUUGGUUAAUCAAAACAGAUGGCAUGAGGCUUUAGAUCGGCUUCUUGAGACAAACAACUUCCCAGAGUUUACAGCCUGGUCUGCCCUGCUCCAUGUUAUGUGCUUGGUAUUAUUGAAACUCCAGUCUCGAUUAAGAACAUAAAACAACGAGUGCUCGAUUACGCAGCUGCAAGUUCUUCAUAAACCUGGCGUCCAUGCAACUUUAGCUCGUCCUAUGAUGUUGUUACAAAACAAGUGGAAUUUGCUUUUCAUUUUGUUAGAGAAAAGGUUGUUCUGACUUCAGUUUUCUAACAGGAAAACGAUAGCUAUAGUUGGAAGUGGGCCUGCUGGUUUGGCUAUACUUGAUCAACUCAACAGGGCGGGCCAUGCAGUGACUUUGUUCGAGCGUGCUGACCGAAUUGGUGGACUUAGGAUGCAUGAGGUUCCUAACAUGAAAACAGACAAAAUCGAUAUGAUUUCUUGCAUUGUAAAAUUGUUUUGCAAAGAUGUUGCGUUUGAUGUACACACACACACACACACACACAUAUAUAUAUAUUUGGUGGUCAUAAUCAUAUGUUGUUGAAUAUGAAUAUGAAGGUGAUUAUAUGUUCCUUAUUGUCAA